rnacentral:rRNA from 1 species
UACAGAGGUCUCAAGCGUUGUUCGGAUCAUUGGGCGUAAAGGGUGCGUAGGCGGCGCGGUAAGUCGGGUGUGAAAUCUCGGAGCUUAACUCCGAAACUGCAUUCGAUACUGCCGGUGCUUGAGGACUGGAGAGGAGACUGGAAUUUACGGUGUAGCGGUGAAAUGCGUAGAUAUCGUAAGGAAGACCAGUGGCGAAGGCGGGUC